rnacentral:pre_miRNA from 1 species
AAUAUUUGACGCCAUUGACUUUUUAACACACGUUUGACCGUUCGUCUUAUUCAAAAAUUUUAUAUAAUUAUUAAUUUUUUCCUAUCAUUUGAUACCUCGUUGAAUAUACUUUUGUUCAAACAUAUCGUUUUACAUAUUUCACAAAUUUUUUUGAAUAAGACAAAUGGUCAAACGUGUCUCAAAAAAUCAACGGCGUCAAAUAUU